GGAUCAAAGUAUCACAGUAUCACAGUAUCAUCAGGGUUGGAAGAGACCUCACAGAUCAUCAAGUCCAACCCUUUACCACAGAGCUCGAGGCUAGACCAUGGCACCAAGUGCCACGUCCAACCUUGCCUUGAAGUGCCCCAGGGACUUGUGUCAUACUUUCUACAGUUAUGUCUGCAGACCAGUCAGGCAAUAUUUUUGCCCUAUUUGCAUGAACAGAGGUGGAAGUUCAGCAUGAAGACCUUGUGGAGUCUCUGAGGUGUUUAAGGAGCAAGCAAUGUGGAGGAUGGCAAUGGUCUUGGUGCUGCAGUCUUCAAGAAGAAAUCUCUUUCUUCCAGUCCCAGCCUAUGAGCCCUUUUGCCUCUCUAAGGAAAGCAGUAGGCAUGACAGAGGGCAUCUGCUGGCAACUGUUAUUUACCAAAGGAAAGCCUGGGGCCAGCCUUCUGGGGCUGUCUGAAAAAGAGGUGGCUGAGGGAAGACCUCAUCAUUGUCUACAGCUACCUGAAAGGAGGAGCUGGACACUUUUGACAGGUCAGAUAAAGUCACUUCCAUCCUCCAUCUGAAUUCCAGCUGCUUGCUAAGGCAGGAUCUUCUGCAAGCUGCAUAUGGUAGGGAAGAAAUUAAAGCGAUAGGAUCCUUGUCUGGAUUCAGAGUAAGGCAUCCAAACCAAAGCUGAGAAAAACAACCUGGAUUCAGCAAAGUGCUUCAGCUUUAAGCAUGCAAACAGCCAACGAAUCACAUGCUUAAAGUAAGACUCAGGUAUGUGCUUCUUGCUAAAUUAGGCAUAAAUGAUAUCUACAUAUCAAAUGGCAGUAAAGGCCCAGUAAAAAGACAAAAGUAAGCCUCCCCCCCACCCCCCACCCCAAAGAAAAGAUAACCAGGAGAGCUUUGGUUCAGCAGCAGUGCUGUCUCAGAUGUAAUGCAGUCCACAGCAGGUCUGGUUUGUUUUCAUUCAGUCACUUUAUUCUUUAUUGCUCGGUAUCAAAAAGGAAUCAAACUGACAUUGAUUAAAGGCCAUUGUGAGUUGCAGGUAAUAUUCAGCUCAUUCUCCCUAUAAAGUGAUGCACAUGGUUGGGACAAACUGAAACCAGAGAAGACUGAAAGAGGAGGGAAUCACAGUAUGUAAACAACAGCACACAGCUAUAGGUUAACUCGGGUUAGCCUUUGUCCACUUGGCAGGCCUGAUCAAAAGGAGCUAAUGUUUGAAUCCCAAUAAAGACUUUGUGGUUUGCCUUUGAAUGGCUGAGAAAUCAAAGAAUCUCACAAAGCAGAGUGGAUAAAUAUGUCUCUACUGCUGUUGCUCCUCAUCUUUAAGGCUUAUCAGAGUCCUCUGCCUUCACUCUGACCUUAUUGGUUGCUUAGGAAAAUCAGCUGAACAAAUACUAAUUGCUUGA